CCUACGGGAGGCAGCAGUGGGGAAUAUUGGACAAUGGGCGAAAGCCUGAUCCAGCCAUGCCGCGUGUGUGAAGAAGGCCUUCGGGUUGUAAAGCACUUUCAGUGGGGAAGAAAGCCUUGGGGCUAAUACCCUCGAGGAAGGACAUCACCCACAGAAGAAGCACCGGCUAACUCCGUGCCAGCAGCCGCGGUAAUACGGAGGGUGCGAGCGUUAAUCGGAAUUACUGGGCGUAAAGCGCGCGUAGGCGGUCUGAUAAGCCGGUUGUGAAAGCCCCGGGCUCAACCUGGGAACGGCAUCCGGAACUGUCAGGCUAGAGUGCAGGAGAGGAAGGUAGAAUUCCCGGUGUAGCGGUGAAAUGCGUAGAGAUCGGGAGGAAUACCAGUGGCGAAGGCGACCUUCUGGACUGACACUGACGCUGAGGUGCGAAAGCGUGGGUAGCAAACAGGAUUAGAUACCCUAGUAGUC
rnacentral:rRNA from 1 species